CCUGACCCGACCCGACCCACUCUAUUAUCUCUAUCAAUAACGCGGCAAAACGACGACAACAACAGUUGUAUCAGCAAACAGCAUACAAAAAAUCACCGACAAUAGCGUACAUACACAUGACAACAGUAAUACUGAUAGUAACAACGAUGCCAGCAAUAGUCGAACAACACCAACGACAAUCUUCGGACCGAUGGAUGGAUACAAAUCCGUUGGGUCAUCACCUCUCAUCUCUUUUUCUCUCUUUGUUCCAACAAAGCAAGCCCGAGGCUCUGUGAACUCAGGAAAGAGAUGGGAAACUCCAAAAAUCCAUCGUAUUUGAGGUAUUUCACCCUUGAUUGGAUGACUAUAGAGCUUAAUCUAAUGAUCUCAAGCCCCCAUUGCCUCCACUUUUUCUUUAAUUUGAUUGAAAGAAGUGAACCCUUUUCUGACCUUUAUUUCUUUUCAUCCAUUAAUCCUGCUGAAUUGGUAUUCCCAGUUAUGAAUUCAAAAUUUAAAUAUAUUUUUUGGGAAUUGUUGAAAGCCUUAAGAAGCCACUACAAUCCAAGAACCCCUAUAAAACGGGGUUCAGUAGAAGAGAAAAGGGUUCUUUUUGGGGGGAUCACACUCUUUAGUCACUGAUUUCUCUACUUUCUUGGCUCUAUUUUCCUUUGUUUUCAUUUACUUCCAUCACUCUCGUUGACUCUCUUUCAUCGGACGAGUUCGUAAUCAAAGAUAGUGGCGAAAUCGCUCUUCGACCUGUCGUCCUAGUUUGCUGCCCCAGAAAAGGAGCACAUUUGAAGUCUCAUGGCUUGACUCUGUCUCUGUCCAAAUCGGAGAAACGAUAAUAGAUGCAUCACACCUUUUCAUCUAGCAGUCUAGUGCCUCUUUCCCUAUUUCAAGUUUUAUUCUUCCUAGACAUUAUUAUUAUUUUGUUUAAUACGUUGUACAUUAUUAUUUCAAAUUUGCAUUUUUUGUAUGUCUCUCAAUUGAAUUAGCGUGAUUCUUUAAAUAAUUUUAAUAAGUUUAAGUGUUACCUUUUCCCCUUUAGAUUCUAAACUUAGCACAAAUAAUAGACUUAGGUAUUUAUUUUAUAUCAUUAAAAGGUUAAAAUUUGGUAGGUAAAGCCAUGCCCUUUAGAAUAAAUGGUCAAGUUUGUUAGAAUCCUUUAAUACUCCUUUAAUAUGACAUAAUAACCCAUCUUUAGAAUCCAGUUAGUUCUUCACUAAUUAGUAACUUUGGAUUAAUAAAACAUAAGUUUUUUGCGGAAAAUCGGCUUCACUAAUUUGGAUAUGGUAAAUGAAAUUUUACUCUAUUUUUUAUUUAUUUAUUUAUUUAUUAUCAUGAUUAUUAUUAUUCAUUAAUCUCAAGUAAAAGAUGGCACUUCGCAAGCCCCUCUUUUAGGAUUUCUAAUGACGAAAAUAUUUAUUCAUUUUUAGCUUCAUCAUAAUAAUAAUAAAUUCUCAAGUUAUUUUAUAUCUAAACAAUUAUAUAUUUUAUCUAUUCACUUAGUGUAUGAUAAUUAACUUAUUUUUAUGAAAAAUUGAUUUAAAAAAGCAAAAGAGCUCAUUUUGUUAGAAUAAAAUAAGGAGUUCUUCAUAUAAUUAACUUUUAAUUGAAAGCUUUUUUAAAGAAAAUAAUUUUAAAUAAUCUUCUUUUGAAAACAAUAAGGCUACAUUAUUUUUAGGAGUUAUCUUUGAUAAUCUUUCAAAAGUGGAAAAAUUUUUAGUUUUUAAUUUUUGUUUUAUAAAUAAUUGGCGUGUUUUAUUUUAAUAAAAUGUAUAUAAUAUAUUUUUUUUCAUAUCCCUCUUAACAUAGCUUUGAUUUCCUUAUCUAACUUAAGUUUGGCCGGUUAACCGUAGUUAGUGGAUCCUUUAGGGUGCCUAAUCCCUUCCCUUUAGGAUAAUUAGAAUCCUUACCUAGAAUUUCAGGUUGUGUAAACCUUAAAAUGAAGUCUUUAAUUACUUUAAUCACAUAGUUUAUAAUAGGUGUCCUAAUUCACCGUAGAACUAAUUUGGUGGCGACUUUCUUAUUUAACUCAAAAAUUUUCCAAUAUAUUGUACCUCGGUUUGACCCAUCUUAAAAUGGGGUAUAACAGAUGCGUGUAUAAAUGAUUAUUGAAAUUUACUUGAUGGAAUUGUCUUAUGACUUUAAGUGUACUUGUAAACUUGGUACAUCGUGUUGUAUGCUGUGAGGUAGAGUAAAUUUGAUAUUGAUAAUACUAGUUUAUGUUGGAUCGUGUACCACGUUGGUACAGUACAUGAAAAUAGACUGUUCCCUGCAGGUCAUGAAUAUUUGGACAAAAAUAAGUCUCAUAGCAUAUGUUUACAUAUUUGUGUUGAUUUUGUGGAUGUUUAUAGUAUGGUUGAUACUCUUGAUGGUUAUGUGGCUUAUUUGUGAGCACUGUUUAACCUGUUAUUGUUGUAUUGUUGAUUCAUUAAGAAUUUGUUAUGUGAUGAUGCUUGUCCACUUGUUAUUUGAUUUAUGUUGUGUACAUGUUAUUAAGUUGAGUUGUCCUAUAAUACCUACCAGUACAUAAUGGUUUGUACUGAUACUACCCUGUACUCUUCUUUUGUUGAGUGCAGAAAGUAUUCCAAAGGCUCAAACACGACCUCACCUCUAGAUUUUGAUAACAGAUCUUGAUCCAAGGGUGAGCACUCCGUCUCCAGACUGCCACAGAUUUUUGAACGUUUCAAAAAUUUGAGGAAGGGCAAGACACUUGUGGACUAGUGAUAUUCGGGUUCCUUGAUUGAGAAAGUGUUCCAGAGGCUCAAGCACGACCUCGCCUCUAGAGUUUGAUAGCAGAUUUUGAUCCAAGGUUGUACAUAAAUAUCACUCAAGUUAUCGCCCCUCAUCCUCCCGAGGAUCCAUCUUCUUCUAAAAGGCUGGCAAAUAGUGGUUUUUCUGAUUACUUUUAUGAGUUAAAUGUUUGGAACAAUGUUGAGGCGGAAACUUACAUAACAACUUCUCGGGAAGAGCUUAAGUAUUAUCUUCGAACGCCGAUAGAGGAUCGUAGAUGACGGAUCAACACGUUAGAUUGGUGGAAGAAUAAUGAAAGAAAAUAUCCUGUGCUUUCAAGAUUAGCUAGAGAUAUAUUGAAUGUUUCAAUGUCAACCGUUGCAUCAGAGAACACUUUUAGUCAGGGACGACAACAGCUUAGAGACAACUAUACUCAAUGGGAAGCAAUUCUAUGAAUGUUCUGGUUUGCCUUUGAUAUUGCAUUAGAGCAGAACAGAGAGGUGGAACCGAAAGACGAACAGAAUCUUGAAGAAAUUAUAACUUCAAGGGAGAACUCAACACAAUCAAGUCCAAUGCAUGGUUUUGCCCCCAUUGAUUUUGACUAUCCUAUGCCAGUUUCCGUUAAUAUUAACAUAGAUGAGUUGAAAAAAGUGAUACAAAAUUUGUAGAUUUUUCAUUCAUGUACAUUAUAAACUUUGGAUCAUUUUACAAUCAAUAAAAUAUAACAUU